CCCUUAGACGUUCUGGGCCGCACGCGCGCUACACUGACGAAGGCAACGAGCUACUCUUCACCGAAAGGUGUGGGUAAUCUUUUGAAACUUCGUCGUGCUGGGGAUAGAUCCUUGCAAUUUUUGAUCUUAAACGAGGAAUUCCUAGUAAGCGCAAGUCAUCAACUUGCGUUGAUUACGUCCCUGCCCUUUGUACACACCGCCCGUCGCUACUACCAAUUGAAUGGUUUAGUGAGGCCUUCGGAUCCGCGAUUUUAUUGUGGAGAAGUUGGACAAACUCAGUCAUUUAGAGGAAGUAAAAGUCGUAACA
rnacentral:rRNA from 1 species